GUGGUUCCAACGUUUUGUAAGCCCGUGCUAAGUUAGACUGCUUGUAAGUGUAUUUGGUGAGUUAUUUAUUCAUCCAGCCUAUGUGGAUGACAAAUAACUUUCAAUGACGAUUGGAGGCUGAUGCUGGAGUCAGGCCGUUGCCCGUGGCACUUUGCUGCCAUUGUGCAGGUAGAGCCAAGCACCGUGUUUAACCUGCAUUUCUCACCUCUCCUUUGUGCAUCACCUUUCCAAGCAAUAGCUCUGGACAGCAGACAAGCUGCACUGAAUAUAAUGAGGUCCCUGAGAGACUGAAUUUCCAAAGCAUUUUUUGUUGAACAGCACAAACUCCAA
rnacentral:lncRNA from 12 species